rnacentral:tRNA from 1 species
GCCCGGGUGGCGGAAUCGGCAGACGCAACGGACUUAAAAUCCGUCGGGGCGUUAAAGCCCCAUGCCAGUUCAAGUCUGGCCCCGGGCA